rnacentral:rRNA from 1 species
CCUACGGGAGGCAGCAGUGAGGAAUAUUGGUCAAUGGGCGCGAGCCUGAACCAGCCAAGUAGCGUGAAGGAUGACUGCCCUACGGGUUGUAAACUUCUUUUAUAAAGGAAUAAAGUGAGGCACGUGUGCCUUUUUGUGUGUACUUUAUGAAUAAGGAUCGGCUAACUCCGUGCCAGCAGCCGCGGUAAUACGGAGGAUCCGAUCGUUAUCCGGAUUGAUUGGGUUUAAAGGCAGCGUAGAUGGGUUUUUAAGUCAGUUGUGAAAGGUUGCGGCUCAACCGUAAAAUUGCAAUUGAUACUGGCAGUCUUGAGUACAGUUGAGGUAGGCGGAAUUCGUGGUGUAGCGGUGAAAUGCUUAGAUAUCACGAAGAACCCCGAUUGCGAAGGCAGCUUACUAAACUGUGACUGACAUUGAUGCUCGAAAGUGUGGGUAUCAAACAGGAUUAGAUACCCUUGUAGUC